rnacentral:rRNA from 12 species
AACAGGGAUUGCCCUAGUAACGGCGAGUGAAGCGGCAACAGCUCAAAUUUGAAAUCUGGCUCUUUUAGGGUCCGAGUUGUAAUUUGCAGAGGGCGCUUUGGCUUUGGCAGCGGUCCAAGUUCCUUGGAACAGGACGUCACAGAGGGUGAGAAUCCCGUACGUGGUCGCUAGCUAUUGCCGUGUAAAGCCCCUUCGACGAGUCGAGUUGUUUGGGAAUGCAGCUCUAAAUGGGAGGUAAAUUUCUUCUAAAGCUAAAUAUUGGCCAGAGACCGAUAGCGCACAAGUAGAGUGAUCGAAAGAUGAAAAGCACUUUGGAAAGAGAGUCAAACAGCACGUGAAAUUGUUGAAAGGGAAGCGCUUGCAGCCAGACUUGCUUGC